rnacentral:rRNA from 1 species
UACGAAGGGUGCAAGCGUUACUCGGAAUUACUGGGCGUAAAGGGUGCGUAGGUGGUUGUUUAAGUCUGUUGUGAAAUUCCUGGGCUCAACCUGGGGGCUGCAUUUGAUACGUUCGGACUAGAGUGGGGAAGAGGGUCGUGGAAUUCCCAGUGUAGAGGUGAAAUUCGUAGAUAUUGGGAAGAACACCGGUGGCGAAGGCGGCGACCUGGUCCUUGACUGACGCUGAGGCGCGAAAGCGUGGGGAGCAAACAGG